CGGAAUCUGCCUAUUUGUGGGGGAUAACGUAGGGAAACUUACGCUAAUACCGCAUACGACCUACGGGUGAAAGCGGAGGACCUUCGGGCUUCGCGCAGAUAGAUGAGCCGAUGUCGGAUUAGCUAGUUGGCGGGGUAGAGGCCCACCAAGGCGACGAUCCGUAGCUGGUCUGAGAGGAUGAUCAGCCACACUGGAACUGAGACACGGUCCAGACUCCUACGGGAGGCAGCAGUGGGGAAUAUUGGACAAUGGGCGCAAGCCUGAUCCAGCCAUGCCGCGUGGGUGAAGAAGGCCUUCGGGUUGUAAAGCCCUUUUGUUGGGAAAGAAAAGCAGUCGGUUAAUACCCGAUUGUUCUGACGGUACCCAAAGAAUAAGCACCGGCUAACUUCGUGCCAGCAGCCGCGGUAAUACGAAGGGUGCAAGCGUUACUCGGAAUUACUGGGCGUAAAGCGUGCGUAGGUGGUUUGUUAAGUCUGAUGUGAAAGCCCUGGGCUCAACCUGGGAAUUGCAUUGGAUACUGGCAGGCUAGAGUGCGGUAGAGGGUAGUGGAAUUCCCGGU
rnacentral:rRNA from 1 species